rnacentral:piRNA from 1 species
UGGAUGUUAAUUUUCUUGAUGGCUUCAAGU